CGAAAAUAAAAAUUAAAUAAAUUAAAUAAAACGUUAAGGAAAGUAAAAACUAUUUUUUGGUAUUUUUAUGAAUAAAUAAACUAUUUUUAUUAAUUAAAAACAAAACAGAAUAAAAAAAAGAAUAAAAGAAUGGAAAUGGAAAAUAAAAUGUGAAUAGCAGUGGGCUUUGUGAAUGGGAGGGGUGGAUAGCAGCGUGUGCCUAGGCCUGGUCCAGCGGAGCAUUC
rnacentral:lncRNA from 1 species